rnacentral:rRNA from 1 species
UACGUAGGGUGCAAGCGUUGUCCGGAAUUAUUGGGCGUAAAGAGCUCGUAGGCGGUUUGUCGCGUCUGCUGUGAAAACUAGAGGCUCAACCUCUAGCUUGCAGUGGGUACGGGCAGACUAGAGUGCGGUAGUGGAGAUUGGAAUUCCUGGUGUAGCGGUGGAAUGCGCAGAUAUCAGGAGGAACACCAAUGGCGAAGGCAGAUCUCUGGGCCGUAACUGACGCUGAGGAGCGAAAGCGUGGGGAGCGAACAGG